UAAUAAUUUAAAAAUUUUAAAAACUGAUAUCAUCAUUCACUUGUGCAUGUAGAAACUAAUUUGAUUUUAAUAUAGUUUUAGAAAUAUUCACGUGAAGAAUGAGACGUCAUCUUGAUGAUCAUCCAGGUUUAAAUACCAAUGUAUACUCUAGUGUUCCAGGAUCCAGUUCUGUUGCAAAUUCUCUUCAGUCAGGACUGCCUAGAGUGGAUGGUGGUGAGACGCAUAGAGUUGUAACUCCUUCUCCUGUUAGUAGUGGAGCUGCUGGGACUGUUACAAGACCUAUUUCACCUUCUGUGAAUAUAGCACUCCAGCAACACCAAAGUGCUGCAAAUGUUGUAGCGCCAGUAUCUCAGUUGUCUAGAGGUACUACUGGAAAACUUCCUGUACAAAGACAGCCUUUGGCAUAUAUCCAAGAUCCAUCUAAUAUUCCAAAAUCAGAAAAUACAGCCAUGCAAAGUGGUUUGCAAUUUUCUGUUCAAACUGGAUAUCAGUCAAGAGUUGGUUCUUCCUUAGUGUCACCAGGCAGUCAUAGUGCUUCAUCAUCUUCAGGACAUCAUUCUCAUUCUCUUCCUGCUCAAGCACCAGUUCAUCAACAGCCUCAAGUUGUUGUACAUCAAGCACAGGCACAAACAGCCCAAGGACAGCAGCAGCAACAGUUUCAAAGAUUAAAAGUUGAAGAUGCUUUAUCAUAUUUGGAUCAAGUGAAAUUUAGAUUUGGAAAUCAGCCUCAAGUGUAUAAUGACUUUUUGGAUAUAAUGAAAGAAUUUAAAUCACAAAGUAUUGAUACUCCUGGUGUGAUUCAGCGUGUAUCAAAUCUGUUCAAAGGACAUCCUGAAUUAAUUGUUGGAUUUAAUACAUUUUUACCACCUGGUUAUAAAAUUGAAGUCCAUUCAAAUGAUCAAGUAAAUGUCACUAUGCCAAAUUCAAAUUCUGCACCAACUAACAAUCCAACUGGUUUAUCACCAGCCAGUGUACCAAGUGCAAGUAAUUCUAAUAAUCAGAAUUCUUCAUCUCAAGCAAAUUUUCCAACUCAUAUUUCACAAAAUAGUCAUACCAGCACUCCCUCUCCUGUUAUUGGAAAUAAGGCUAUUCAUCAAAUAUCUGUUGUAAGUAGUCAAACACAUACAUCUGUUAACAGUCAACAUCCUUAUCAUCAAAGUUCUCCUCCUCAUGCAACCAAUGCUCCAAGUGCUCAUAGCCCUAGUACUCCUCAAGCCAGUCAACCAGUAGAAUUUAAUCAUGCAAUUAAUUAUGUGAAUAAAAUAAAGAACCGCUUUCAAGGUCAACCAGAUAUAUAUAAGCAGUUUUUAGAAAUAUUGCAUACAUAUCAGAAAGAACAGAGGAAUUUGAAACAGAUCACAAUGAAGCUUGUAUAAAUUUCCAAAAAUUCUAAAACUUAUUUUCUCAUCCUAAGCAUGAUCAGAUAAAGAAAAUGAACCGCUUUCAAGGUCAACCAGAUAUAUAUAAGCAGUUUUUAGAAAUAUUGCAUACAUAUCAGAAAGAACAGAGGAAUUUGAAACAGGGAAAUCAUGCUGGUUCUAAACCUCUCACUGAGAGUGAAGUAUAUGCUCAAGUGGCAAAGUUAUUUCAAAAUCAAGAAGAUCUACUUCAGGAAUUUGGUCAGUUUCUGCCAGAUGCUAAUGGAGCAGCUAGUAUAUUGCAACCUACAACCAAAGCUGUGAAUAAUGAUCAUACAGCUGCUGCAAAGAAACCUAUCGUGUCUAAACCUGUAAGCACUCCUAUAAACAGCCAAACAAAACAACCACAAGCUGUUAAACGUCCUGCUCCAUCAUUGCCAUCACAACCUAAUAAG
rnacentral:misc_RNA from 1 species